UUUUUUUUUUUUCAAGAGAGAAAAUGAGCGUGUUACCUGCUUCGUUUAUUUUUUUUUUUAAAUAAAGUUAGCUGGAAAUAUGAAUCAAUUAAGAUUCGAACUUUGGACCUCAGAUACCAACAGCUAAGCUCUUUGCCGCUUGCGCUAAAAAUAGUCGGUUAAUUAGAGCCAAGAUCUGAAUAAGCUAUCUAAAUAUUUCUAGAAAUUAGUUGCAUUCGGUGUAUCUGUAAAAAUUCUAUUUAAUUUGUCUAGAAUAGGGCAAUAGUUGAACUCAGAAUUUCAGCUCUCAUUCCAUAUAAAAUAAUAUAAAAUAACUAGAAUGUGGCGGUAUUUGAACUCAGAAUUAUUUUAACGCUCAUUCCGUACAAAAUAAUGUAAAAUAACUAUUGAUCU
rnacentral:lncRNA from 1 species